rnacentral:rRNA from 1 species
GACGAACGCUGGCGGCGUGCCUAAUACAUGCAAGUCGAACGCUUCUUUUCUCCCGAAUGCUUGCAUUCAAUUGAAAAGAAGAGUGGCGGACGGGUGAGUAACACGUGGGUAACCUGCCCAUAAGUGGGGGACAACAGUCGGAAACGAUUGCUAAUACCGCAUAUACGAGAAACCACAUGGUUUCUUUGUAAAAGGUGGCUUUUAUGCUACCGCUUAUGGAUGGACCCGCGGCGUAUUAGCUAGUUGGUGAGGUAACGGCUCACCAAGGCGAUGAUACGUAGCCGACCUGAGAGGGUGAUCGGCCACACUGGGACUGAGACACGGCCCAGACUCCUACGGGAGGCAGCAGUAGGGAAUCUUCCGCAAUGGACGAAAGUCUGACGGAGCAACGCCGCGUGAGUGAAGAAGGUUUUCGGAUCGUAAAACUCUGUUGUUAGAGAAGAACAAGUAGGAGAGUAACUGCUCCUGCCUUGACGGUAUCUAACCAGAAAGCCACGGCUAACUACGUGCCAGCCGCCGCCGUAACAC